rnacentral:rRNA from 1 species
UACGUAGGUGGCAAGCGUUGUCCGGAUUUAUUGGGUUUAAAGGGUGCGUAGGUGGUCAAUUAAGUCAGUGCUGAAAUAUCCCGGCUUAACCGGGAGGGUGGCAUUGAUACUGAUUGACUUGAGUGGAGUUGAGGUAGGCGGAAUUGACGGUGUAGCGGUGAAAUGCUUAGAUAUCGUCAAGAACACCGAUAGCGAAGGCAGCUUACCAAGCUCUAACUGACACUGAUGCACGAAAGUGUGGGGAUCAAACAGG